AUUGAACGCUGGCGGCAGGCCUAACACAUGCAAGUCGAGCGGAUGACGGGAGCUUGCUCCUUGAUUCAGCGGCGGACGGGUGAGUAAUGCCUAGGAAUCUGCCUGGUAGUGGGGGACAACGUUUCGAAAGGAACGCUAAUACCGCAUACGUCCUACGGGAGAAAGCAGGGGACCUUCGGGCCUUGCGCUAUCAGAUGAGCCUAGGUCGGAUUAGCUAGUAGGUGAGGUAAUGGCUCACCUAGGCGACGAUCCGUAACUGGUCUUAGAGGAUGAUCAGUCACACUGGAACUGAGACACGGUCCAGACUCCUACGGGAGUCAGCAGUGGGGAAUAUUGGACAAUGGGCGAAAGCCUGAUCCAGCCAUGCCGCGUGUGUGAAGAAGGUCUUCGGAUUGUAAAGCACUUUAAGUUGGGAGGAAGGGCAGUAAGCUAAUACCUUGCUGUUUUGACGUUACCGACAGAAUAAGCACCGGCUAACUCUGUGCCAGCCGCCGCCGUAAAAC
rnacentral:rRNA from 1 species